GUUUGAGUCGGGACCUGGAACGACCGGUUUUUGUGAUGCUGAUGCGUCAGAUUCCGUUGCCAUGACGUCGACUCACCUGUGGCUGCGGGGGGGGGGAAGCGGGGGCGCCGCCGACUAAAACUCACACACAGGUCCAAACUGGAGUCAAGAUGGCUGCUCGGAUGGAAAGACAUCAGAAGCUGCUGAUGAUCAGGAGAAACCAAACAACAAAUGAGUCUGGAGUUUCCCGGACUGGAGGUUACUGGGAGGGGAAGAGCGCUGCCUCCCUCUAGUGGCCGGCUGACCUUACUGCAGCUUCCUGAUCAAAAACAACCAGCAGAAACGGGUCAAAGGUCACCUAUUGGAGAAAAGCCACUGGAGGCUGAGAUAAAGAAUCAGCUGUUUUAAAUAAAGUUGGUUAAUUUGGUCGUUUUUAUGUAAUAAACUGAUUUUCCACCACAGAAUGAAUUAAAAUAACAGUGAUGCUGGUUUGGAUCUAUUUCCUUGUCAUUAAAUUGUAAAUCAUGUUUUUUCUUUUCAUUUUCAUUUUGCAUAUUCAACAUUCUGCGUUUUGUGCAAAAGUUUUAUAUUUUUCUUUAUUUAAAAUCCUAAAACAGAAAUAAAAUGUCCUGAAGUAGAUCAAGACUUUUGUCUGUUUUAAGGCCAUGUAACAUUUGUUGCACUACAGAAGUUUGAUUUAGCUGUUCUGAAGGCAUGUAUAACAUUUAAAGAUUGUUGCAGACCCUUUGACUAGGCCGUUGUAGUAACUCAAUACUCCGAGGUUUAAAAUGUUUCUGUGCAAAAUCCAAUAAAUGUUAAAGAUCAGUGAGACAUUCAGUGAUUUUGAAAUGCUUUA